rnacentral:tRNA from 1 species
GGGGAUUUAGCCCAGUGGUAGAGCGCUUGCCUAGCGAGCACAAGGCCCUGGGUUCGAUCCCCAGCUCCG